CCCACCCUUUCACCUCCGUCAUGCUUUCGUUUUUUUAAGGUUGAUUAUUUGUAAUUUUGGAUUCAAAAUUUUGAAAUUGGUGCAUUUUUCAUAUGGGCAUUUCUAAUUUGUUCAUCAAAAUAAAAGUCUGAUCAAUAUGGAUCAACUAUUGAGGAAAAAUGAUUUUGAUGGAAUAAAUUAAAGUUUUUUGAAGAUUUUCGAUAUGUAUUUGAUUGUAGUUGGUUGAUGGGUGUAAAAAAAAAAUAGAGAACAAGAAGAGAGGGGUUGGUGGG
rnacentral:lncRNA from 1 species